CGGGAUGAGCUCAAAUUUAAAAUCUGGCGUCUUUCAGGCGUCCGAGUUGUAAUCUAUAGAGGCGUUUUCCGCGCCGGACCGCGUCCAAGUCUCUUGGAAUAGAGUAUCAAAGAGGGUGACAAUCCCGUACUUGACGCGACAACCGGUGCUCUGUGAUACGUUCUCAAUGAGUCGAGUUGUUUGGGAAUGCAGCUCUAAAUGGGUGGUAAAUUCCAUCUAAGGCUAAAUAUUGGCGAGAGACCGAUAGCGAACAAGUACCGUGAGGGAAAGAUGAAAAGCACUUUGGAAAGAGAGUUAAACAGCACGUGAAAUUGUUAAAAGGGAAACGAUUGAAGUCAGUCGUGUGAAAGGUAUUCAGCCGUCUCUGGCGGUGUAUUUGCCUUUCACGGGUCAACAUCAGUUUGAUCCGGUAGAAAAAGGCAGGAGGAAGGUGGCACCCUCGGGUGUGUUAUAGCCUCUUGUCAUAUGUGCCGGACCAGACUGAGGAACGCAGCUUGCCGCAAGGCCGGGGUUCGCCCACGUACAAGCUUAGGAUGUUGACAUAAUGGCUUUAAACGACCCGUCUU
rnacentral:rRNA from 1 species